rnacentral:rRNA from 1 species
AGUGGCGCACGGGUGAGUAACACGUAGCUAAUCUGCCCUAUAGUGGGGGACAACAGUUGGAAACGACUGCUAAUACCCUAUACUCCGAUACUGCCUAAGUAGUAUCGGGAAAGUUUUUCGCUAUAGGAUGAGGCUGCGGUCUAUCAGCUUGUUGGUGAGGUAACGGCUCACCAAGGCUAUGACGGAUAGCUGGUCUGAGAGGAUGAUCAGCCACACUGGAACUGAGACACGGUCCAGACUCCUACGGGAGGCAGCAGUGGGGAAUUUUACACAAUGGGCGAAAGCCUGAUGUAGCAACGCCGCGUGGAGGAUGAAGGAUUUAGGUUCGUAAACUCCUUUUAUAGGGGAAGAAAUUUGACGGUACCCUAUGAAUAAGCGCCGGCUAACUCCGUGCCAGCAGCCGCGGUAAUACGGGGGGCGCAAGCGUUACUCGGAAUCACUGGGCGUAAAGGGAGCGUAGGCGUUCUAUUAAGUCUUGAGUGAAAGCCCGCAGCCUAACUGCGGAACUGCUCAGGAAACUGAUAGAAUUGAGUAUGGAAGAGGUCAGUGGAAUUUCCAGUGUAGGGGUAAAAUCCGUAGAUAUUGGAAGGAAUACCAGAAGCGAAGGCGACUGACUGGGACAUUACUGACGCUGAGGCUCGAAGGCGUGGGGAGCAAACAGGAUUAGAUACCCUGGUAGUCCACGCCCUAAACGAUGAACACUAGUCGUUACGGAGCUAGUCUCUGUAGUGACGCAGCUAACGCAUUAAGUGUUCCGCCUGGGGAGUACGGUCGCAAGAUUAAAACUCAAAGGAAUAGACGGGGACCCGCACAAGCGGUGGAGCAUGUGGUUUAAUUCGAAGAUACGCGAAGAACCUUACCAAGGCUUGAC